rnacentral:rRNA from 1 species
GUGGGGAAUAUUGCACAAUGGGCGCAAGCCUGAUGCAGCGACGCCGCGUGAGGGAUGACGGCCUUCGGGUUGUAAACCUCUUUCAGCAGGGGAGAAGGCCUUCGGGUUGACGGUACCUGCAGAAGAAGCGCCGGCUAACUACGUGCCAGCAGCCGCGGUAAUACGUAGGGCGCAAGCGUUGUCCGGAAUUAUUGGGCGUAAAGAGCUCGUAGGCGGUUUGUCGCGUCUGCUGUGAAAACGCGAGGCUCAACCUCGCGCCUGCAGUGGGUACGGGCAGACUAGAGUGCGGUAGGGGAGACUGGAAUUCCUGGUGUAGCGGUGGAAUGCGCAGAUAUCAGGAGGAACACCGGUGGCGAAGGCGGGUCUCUGGGCCGUUACUGACGCUGAGGAGCGAAAGCAUGGGGAGCGAACAGG